CAAGACGUACGUAGUCUGGGAAACACAGUGGGAAAGUACUUAAAUACUUUUUGGGAAACUUGAACAGGUAGUUAAAAUCAAAGUCACUCAUAUUGUCUAUGAUAAUUUCAAACAUCUAUAAGGACUCUUGUUAUAACAUAGACUUCGUAAAUGUGUAAAAGCCUUAGCAUGAGCAGCGAGCAGCUCUAGUAUAAUAGUCGUUGUAAAAUUCAGUGCCUAAACCUACACCUAAGAAUAACUAUCCAAAAGGAGCAUAAAGUGUAGCAUUAAAGAGAGAUAAAACAAAAAUACAGAUUAUUCUCUAAAC